GACCUCGUGUGUUUCCGAAAAAAAUGUAAACAAAGCUAAUAGAGCUGUUUUAUAAAAAGUUUUUUUCUACUCUAGAGCUGAUUUUAGUCCACCCUGUGUCAAAGCAGCCCACGGUUGACUGACUCACCAGCUGAAAUUCCAGGAAGAGGAACCACAAACCCUAGACUCUAUAGAAGGAAACCUUCAUCAGAUAUCUUGAUGAACAAAGUCUAUUGAACCAGGCAAGCUUCCUGCUGAAGAGACAGGACAGUCAUAAUGCUGAGAGUAUCUACUGUGUCUGAGGUACUGGGCCAGGAACUGCAGAGGCUACAAAAGAGAACGAGAAUGGGUCUCACGUCUUAAGUAGCUCAUGCUGUAGUGAAGGAGACAACAGUGCAACUCAAGGCAUCGCGAUCAAGAGCUACAGUAGAAAUGUCCACAAGGCCUCGGGGGAAAGGGAGAUGAAUGCUAACUCUGUGUGGUCUCAGUCUUCAUGGUGUCUCAGCUGAGCCUUGAAUCCUGUGAUUGCGUAGAAGGGUCUUUUAGGAGGACACAGCUGGAACAAAAGGCACAAAAUACAGGAUGGAGCAUUUGUCCUAUUUUUUUAAGCUGAAGGGAAGGUGCCCAGGAGAGGAAGAGAUUAAUGGUUCAGGAGAAAAAUGGGAUGCCUGAUGGCACAGGAAGUGAUUGGAUCAAACCCACAGUUGGUUUUUUUGUGUGUUUUUUCUUUUUUUGUGUGGACGUGUUUGUUGUUGCAAUGGCUUAAAGCAGAGAUAACAAGUCUAUUACAAAAGAAAGUGCAUGACUAUCAUGGUUUGCAGAUGAUAUGUUUACCGUUCUAAAACAGAGAUUCUCAGCCCUUUUCCACACAUGGCCCUUGAAGAAAAUGACAGUAUCUAUAAGAUAUAUUGGAGUAAGCCAUAGGGGAUUUGCAGGCAAUUAUCUGUGGCUUGGUGAAAAAAUUUUAGUGUGUUUUUAUAUUAUAUAAUUAUGGUAAUAAAAAUAAAACAUAAUGUAUUCCAAAAGAUAUUCAAUAUUGAAUUUAUAUAAAACUUCCAUGUAAAAUAUUCUCAGAUUAUUUACCUAGAUACUUAGGUUUACUUCUCUGGAUGUAACUUUAAUAUAAGAUUAUAUGCCUAAAUCUUUAAUAUGAGAUUAAUAUAAGAUUAUAUAAGGGGUCAUCAGCAUUUCUUGGUGUUGACUUUUUAGUGAUCAUCUCUUGCUAGUCAACACGAAUGAGAAACUUUGUUCAUAUAAAUUGCUAAUUUAAAAUAUUUAAUUUAAUUUAAAAAAUUUAUAAUAGUUGCCAGGAAAAUCUAACAGUUUUUUCAUUCUUUUUUCUUUUUUUUUAACAUCUUUAUUGGAGUAUAAUUGCUUUACAAUGGUGUGUUAGUUUCUGCUUUAUAGACAGAUGUGAUAUUGCAAUUUGUUGUGAUGAUGCAAAUAGAUUUUUCAAAACAAUAUAGCUUUUUCAUAUCAUGUACUUCAAAGUAGUGAUGAAGCUCUAAUGUGAGGAAAAGACAGGUGUUAUUAGAGCAGUCACCUUGCAAGUAGCUUGAAUGUCACUAAGAGAAUCCAUUGGCACAAAUACGUGGCAGCAUCUCCUGUGUCACGACCAAGAUUCCAAGCUGCCACCUGUGAAGUGCCUGCCCUGAGCCCCCUUGGGCUGUGAUCUGGGCACCAUGGGCAUCUGGUACCCAAACCCCUCCAGCAGUUCCAUGGUCCUAGGGCCACAAGGCAGAGAUGUGCUCUGCAGCUGGUACAGAGGGGGCAUCCUGGCUGGAGGGCACCCUUGAGUUUGUUUAACAGGUUGCCGCAAAGCGAGGUGUGCGGGAUGUGGCCGGUUCUGCUCAUUGCUAAUAGUGAUCUCACACAAUCAGAGCUCCUCUGCUUAGGGUUCUCUCUCGAGCCUCCAAGGAGCUUCUUGAAUGUAGGUGAUUAGUUACAAGUGGCCGCACCAGACCCUCCCUGACUGCUGGGCAGUCAGUGUCUUAUAGAGCACCCGAGUCCCCCUCUCGGCACAGCAGUGGACCGCAUGCAGCGUACCAACUGGAAAGCUCCCGUCUGGAAAGCCAAAGGAAGAAAGUAUUGACAUGAAUAAAAGAGUGAGAAGAAUGACUUAAUAUAUGAAAGAUACAUGCAUAUAUGUUAAGAUAAGUAUCUGAAAAUUACCGGAUUUUCUAUUUACUAACUAUAAUGAGUGAGGAAACAUAACAGAAAAAAAGAUUGCACUCCCAAUAGCAACAAAAGAGAUGAAAUACCUAGGAAUACCUUAACAAGAAAUAUGAGAGAUUUAUAUGAAUAAAUGACAAGAUUUUACUACAAAGUAUAAAAGAAGACUUCUGUAAAUAGAACCAUACCGUGUUCUUGGAUGGGAGAACUGAAUAUUAUAAAGAUGUCAAUUUCCUACCAAAUUAAUUUAUAGUUAUAACUCCAAUCAAAA